rnacentral:rRNA from 1 species
CUACGGGCGGCAGCAGUGGGGAAUAUUGGACAAUGGGCGCAAGCCUGAUCCAGCCAUGCCGCGUGUGUGAAGAAGGCCUUCGGGUUGUAAAGCACUUUCAGUUGGGAGGAAAGGUUAGUCGCUAAUAUCGGCUAGCUGUGACGUUACCAACAGAAGAAGCACCGGCUAACUCCGUGCCAGCAGCCGCGGUAAUACGGAGGGUGCAAGCGUUAAUCGGAAUUACUGGGCGUAAAGCGUACGCAGGCGGUUGAUUAAGCGAGAUGUGAAAGCCCCGGGCUCAACCUGGGAACUGCAUUUCGAACUGGUCAACUAGAGUGUGAUAGAGGGUGGUAGAAUUUCAGGUGUAGCGGUGAAAUGCGUAGAGAUCUGAAGGAAUACCGAUGGCGAAGGCAGCCACCUGGGUCAACACUGACGCUCAUGUACGAAAGCGUGGGGAGCAAACAGGAUUAGAUACCCCGGUAGUC